GGUUAUUAUUGUAAUCAUUUCGUUUUUAGCUAUAUUUAGCUAAGAGUUAAAGACAACAUGGGUGUCUCAUUUCUAGCCCACCUACACAAUCAUCCAUUCAUUUGUAUAUUGUGUCUUUAGAUUAAGUUAGAAAUAAAAGUGUGUUUGAACUAAUUAUUUAUUUAUCUAGGUGUUAAAAUUCAACAGUAAAUCAAAAUUGACAAAAAUGUCAAACAGCUUUGGAGUAUUGUCUACAUAUGGGAGGUGGUGGCUUCUGAAACAAUACUUUCAGGAGAUCGGGAUUGUACCUUACUGCAGGAUGUGAAAAAUACUGACUUGGUUUUUAAGCAAGCUCGUGUGCUAAUAAGAGCUAAUAGAUCAAAUACAAAUGAAUAAAAAAUUAUUCAAUCUGUCACAGCAUAAACUUGUUUCAAUGCAACAUAUUCACGGACUGCAGCAAAUCUUUCUGGUUUAAUUGGAACUUGUAUCACCUUGACCUUUCCUAGCACAGAGCAGAGUGCCCCUCUGAAGCAACGACAGCAUCUGCAUCCUCAUUCCAUUUUAAUCAGAGCUCAAUUUGGAUUUCUAUGUCUCGGCAAUCAGUGCAUUGCGGAGCAAGGAAACUGCAGAAAUAAAUGAGAUGUUGCCUUGUUCCAGCUGAUUAAAACAUGAUUCAAGGUGACUUUUAGGUGACAUUACAAGUUGUCAGAACAGCAGUGUACUUUUCUUUAUGACAGAAAAAAAAUGUGUGAGGGAUGUUUAUUUCCCCUAUCUGAGAUAAGUGACAGAAUUGAAAUGAGAGCACUGGUGUGUCCACGAAAAUAUAUCAGUGUUUAAAGAAUCCUAUUAUUAGACACAGUGGAAACUACAUCUUGGAUAAGCCUCCCAUACUGUGGGUAAUUAUCACAAGCCAGAAUGCUAAUUGCUUUUCGAUCUGCUCUGUGCCUCUGAUGAGUCUUGUUGAGGGCUACUGGGGCUGUACCAGACACUAACACUUAAUGAGACAAAGUUUAUCAGAGUACAGCAUCUGCUAUUACUAAGUGAAGAACAGGAAAAAUACGCCUUAAGAUGAAAAGAGAAAAAAAUAAAGAGAGAUAAAACUAUGGGACAACAAGAAGAAUUAAAAAAAUGUUUUCAUUAUACUUUCUUUUCAGAUGUUAAGUAACUAUGUCCUCAUCAUAGAUAAAAAAAAGAUAAAAAUUUGCUUGUUAUGGUCUGGUUACUUGAAAAGGCGUAGAGGAAGAAAAACAUUCUGAAUAUUUUAUUUUGAAGAAAUAAUUACUUGAUGCAAAGUGUGAAGGCAUACUUUAUUCGUCCUCCUGAAAGCUGAAUUGUUCGCACAGUUCCAAAAACAGGCUGACAAAUUCCAGGACAUACUGCCAAAUUCUAGACCAUGGUACAACCAAGUUGGAUGCAAGCUUGAACGCUACAGAAAGUUCCAAUUGCAGAGAAAAAACCAAAUUAUUUCUAUGUAAAAGGCCUGACUGAAGACAAACAGGACUGAAGAGUAUUGCAGCCAUAACUCUUACUUUUCAAGGUACCUGGUAACGGGUCAUUACAUAUGCUUAAGGUGUAUGUUAUAGAGACAAUAGAAGAACUGCAUCUAAGGGAAUAUUGGUUAAACUUUAAUUUUACUUAGGCUUAUUCUGCUUAUUUUGAAAACUCUUUAUUCAGAACUUAAAUGUGCAGGUCCCUAUUUUAAUUUUUUCAAGCAAUUAGAAAGAUACUAUGAUCUGAGAUGCACACUACCUAGUGUUUUUCUUCUUGAAGUUUAAAAGAACUACUUCAAAUAAUGCAGUUAUGUAAAAAUGAGGAAAAAAAAAGAUAUUAAGAUGCAAAGCUAUUAAUUUUUUGGUUUAGCUGUUCCACAGCUGCAAACAACCACAUGCUGAUGUACUAUGAAGCUGUCAUGAAGCCGACGAAACCUCCACAAAUCACUGACAAAAAUUAACUAAAUAGUUCAGAUGAGUAUUUAGUAAUUUUUCUUUACUAUAUAAAACAUAUUUUGGCAUGGUUCAUGAACUUACUGACGUCCAGCAACAGUCAAAGACAGUAUAUCUAUAUGCCUUCCUUUGAUGACUGUUAUAAAUAAAGUUGUAGAGACUGGAUUCAAUCUAAAGCUUCUGGACCAUACUUAAUACUGAUACGAAAACCUUUGGGUUUUCUUAUAUCAUAAUCCUCAUAUUCAUAAGAAAAAUCCAACCACCCUAUUAUAA